UAAAAAUCAAACAUACAUACCCCUUUACUUAAUUAAAUUAUAUAAUAAUACUACAAAAACUAAAAAGCCACCACAUGCUACCGAAAAGUCACGCUUCAUCAAUCACACUGUUUAUUGAAAACCUUUUCUCUUAAUACUAUAGAUGUUCGUCACACUCGACCAUCUUUUCCUCACAAGUCACACUGUUUAAACAAACCUCAUGAAUUAAUAAAAUAAUAUUUGCUCUCCAAAGACAAACCUCAUGAAUUAAUUAAUAAAAAAAUAUAUGCUCUGACCCCUCUAUGUAUUCUGCUUAUAUUUAAUUAAUCAUAAUCAUCUCAUACAUUUCAAUCCCACUUUAUUCUCAAAACUGUUUCAUAUUCCCAGUUUCUACAAUCACAUUUUCCCCAUCAUCUUCUUCUUCUUCUUCUUCACGUCUUUAACCGCUGUUCAUCCAAAAACAUCUAAUUCGCCAUCCAAGGAACCUCAAAAUGAAGUUCAUUGAGAUAUCAACGAUUUGACCACAUGAUAAUGAAGAACCCCUUCAAAUAAGAGUAAUAAGAAGAUGGAUACCAUACGCAAAACGACAAGAUCUUUGAUAACUUUUUGUAGAUAAUCAUGUAAGCUUCAACACAUAAAUAUCAAUUGGUUAAUAUUAUAUUGCUAAUAUUUUUCACACA